CGCAAUCUCGGCUUACUGCAAGCUCUGCCUCCUGGGUGCACGCCAUUCCCCUGCCUCAGCCUCCGGAGUAGCUGGGACUACAGGCGCCUGCCACUGCGCCCGGCUAAUUUGACAUUGCUCUUAAAAGUAUGUUAGAACACUUCCUUAUUCUUCAUGCAUCCAUAGAGAAAAGGAAAAGUCUUCUUAACUCUCCGGAAGAAUUAAUCAGAGGAGCAUUUCUAACUUCUUUCCACCCACUCACUCACUCUCCUUCCACUGACCAUUGAAAAUGGGGGAAGAAAAAAGGUACGGUUGGCUCAAGGUUUUCUGGAUCCUCCCCAAGUUUCUUUGGCUCUGCUGUUUACCUUCUGGCAGUCGCAACAGAGGAAACCAGCAUCUUUAGAUGAAAUUAUUGAUCAAAUUUGGAUCUCUGUGUGCUGUCCUCCAAUUUAAUACUUUCUGUGUUGCUGUUUUAUUUUCUUUCUUCUGGAACCUGGCAAAGUGCGUCAAGCGAUGAGGCUUCCUCUUUGAAGAUCACAGGUGAGAAGAUUAGGUGCUUUCUCAGAAGCCCAGCAACCUGAUGGGAGUGUGGAGUGAGCAAGACCCAAAUCGGAGCUUCAUCCCUGCAUGGUUCAUUUUGCUUAUUUGGCAAACUUGCCCUGCAGAAUCUACUCAAGCUUCCUCAGUUUCUCAAAUCAUUCUUGGGCAACAAAUGAACAAGAAAGAGGACGUCUUAUUAUCUGGUGUCUGGCUUGCUGAUUUAAUAACCUAGGAGACAGUGUUUGAAGAACACAAACUCUAAAGUCCUUCACUUAAAAAAAAAAAAAAACUUUCCCAAAUUGCUUACCAUUUGGAAAAAUUGCCUUACCUUCUUCAGUCAUCUCUGAUGUUGUCAUCCUCAGAGUAAGAAGUACGCAUUCAUAAGGAACCAUAACGUCCUUCAGGAAAUCCAGUACACCCUACAAUUUUACCUAAAACUUUGAUGUUGUUUUUUCUGAGCAUUUUACCUUCUAGGGAAAUGGAUCUCAUGCUGUUUAUCAGUUUCUGAAAGUUGUUAUUAAUCUCCCCUCAUCCCAAAAUUGAAGAACUUUGCUUAAAUCUUAGAAUCAGAACUUUGGCUCCAGUAAUAAAGACUUUUCAAUAUCUUUAUCUGCCAUUGAGUCUUACCUAACGAAAUAAAGCCUCCAAAGUGGGAAUUUGAAAUGUUUUAGAAUCUUUUUUUUUCCUUUUGACAUAGUGAUUGGUGGGA
rnacentral:lncRNA from 1 species